rnacentral:rRNA from 1 species
GACGAAGGAUGCAAGCGUUAUCCGGAUUCAUUGGGUUUAAAGGGAGCGUAGGCGGAUUGGUAAGUCAGUGGUGAAAUCUUUGGGCUUAACCCAGAAACUGCCAUUGAUACUGCUGAUCUAGAGUACAGUUGCCGUUGGCGGAAUAUGACAUGUAGUGGUGAAAUACUUAGAUAUGUCAUAGAACACCGAUUGCGAAGGCAGCUAACGAAGCUGUAACUGACGCUGAGGCUCGAAAGUGCGAGGAUCAAACAGG